rnacentral:rRNA from 1 species
GGGUUGUGAGGUUAAGCGACUAAGCGUACACGGUGGAUGCCCUGGCAGUCAGAGGCGAUGAAGGACGUGCUAAUCUGCGAAAAGCGUCGGUAAGGUGAUAUGAACCGUUACAGCCGGCGAUGUCCGAAUGGGGAAACCCAGUGUGAUUCGUCACACUAUCGUUAACUGAAUACAUAGGUUAACGAGGCGAACCGGGGGAACUGAAACAUCUAAGUACCCCGAGGAAAAGAAAUCAACCGAGAUUCCCCCAGUAGCGGCGAGCGAACGGGGAGCAGCCCAGAGUCUGAAUCAGCUUGUGUGUUAGUGGAACGGUCUGGAAAGUCCGACGGUACAGGGUGAUAGUCCCGUACACCAAAAUGCACAGGCUGUGAACUCGAAGAGUAGGGCGGGACACGUGGUAUCCUGUCUGAAUAUGGGGGGACCAUCCUCCAAGGCUAAAUACUCCUGACUGACCGAUAGUGAACCAGUACCGUGAGGGAAAGGCGAAAAGAACCCCGGCGAGGGGAGUGAAAAAGAACCUGAAACCGUGUACGUACAAGCAGUGGGAGCACCUUCGGGUGUGACUGCGUACCUUUUGUAUAAUGGGUCAGCGACUUAUAUUCUGUAGCAAGGUUAACCGUAUAGGGGAGCCGCAGGGAAACCGAGUCUUAACUGGGCGUUAAGUUGCAGGGUAUAGACCCGAAACCCGGUGAUCUAGCCAUGGGCAGGUUGAAGGUUGGGUAACACUAACUGGAGGACCGAACCGACUAAUGUUGAAAAAUUAGCGGAUGACUUGUGGCUGGGGGUGAAAGGCCAAUCAAACCGGGAGAUAGCUGGUUCUCCCCGAAAGCUAUUUAGGUAGCGCCUCGUGAACUCAUCUUCGGGGGUAGAGCACUGUUUCGGCUAGGGGGUCAUCCCGACUUACCAACCCGAUGCAAACUACGAAUACCGAAGAAUGUUAUCACGGGAGACACACGGCGGGUGCUAACGUCCGUCGUGAAGAGGGAAACAACCCAGACCGCCAGCUAAGGUCCCAAAGUCAUGGUUAAGUGGGAAACGAUGUGGGAAGGCACAGACAGCCAGGAUGUUGGCUUAGAAGCAGCCAUCAUUUAAAGAAAGCGUAAUAGCUCACUGGUCGAGUCGGCCUGCGCGGAAGAUGUAACGGGGCUAAACCAUGCACCGAAGCUGCGGCAGCGACACGAUGUGUUGUUGGGUAGGGGAGCGUUCUGUAAGCCUGCGAAGGUGACCUGUGAGGGUUGCUGGAGGUAUCAGAAGUGCGAAUGCUGACAUAAGUAACGAUAAAGCGGGUGAAAAGCCCGCUCGCCGGAAGACCAAGGGUUCCUGUCCAACGUUAAUCGGGGCAGGGUGAGUCGACCCCUAAGGCGAGGCCGAAAGGCGUAGUCGAUGGGAAACAGGUUAAUAUUCCUGUACUUGGUGUUACUGCGAAGGGGGGACGGAGAAGGCUAUGUUAGCCGGGCGACGGUUGUCCCGGUUUAAGCAUGUAGGCUGGUUAUCCAGGCAAAUCCGGAUAAUCAAGGCUGAGGUGUGAUGACGAGGCACUACGGUGCUGAAGUAACAAAUGCCCUGCUUCCAGGAAAAGCCUCUAAGCAUCAGGUAACACGAAAUCGUACCCCAAACCGACACAGGUGGUCAGGUAGAGAAUACCAAGGCGCUUGAGAGAACUCGGGUGAAGGAACUAGGCAAAAUGGUGCCGUAACUUCGGGAGAAGGCACGCUGGUGUGUAGGUGAAGUCCCUGCGGAUGGAGCUGAGACCAGUCGAAGAUACCAGCUGGCUGCAACUGUUUAUUAAAAACACAGCACUGUGCAAACACGAAAGUGGACGUAUACGGUGUGACGCCUGCCCGGUGCCGGAAGGUUAAUUGAUGGGGUUAUCCGUAAGGAGAAGCUCUUGAUCGAAGCCCCGGUAAACGGCGGCCGUAACUAUAACGGUCCUAAGGUAGCGAAAUUCCUUGUCGGGUAAGUUCCGACCUGCACGAAUGGCGUAAUGAUGGCCAGGCUGUCUCCACCCGAGACUCAGUGAAAUUGAACUCGCUGUGAAGAUGCAGUGUACCCGCGGCAAGACGGAAAGACCCCGUGAACCUUUACUAUAGCUUGACACUGAACAUUGAGCCUUGAUGUGUAGGAUAGGUGGGAGGCUUUGAAGCGUGGACGCCAGUCUGCGUGGAGCCAACCUUGAAAUACCACCCUUUAAUGUUUGAUGUUCUAACGUUGGCCCCUUAUCGGGGUUGCGGACAGUGUCUGGUGGGUAGUUUGACUGGGGCGGUCUCCUCCCAAAGCGUAACGGAGGAGCACGAAGGUUAGCUAAUCCUGGUCGGACAUCAGGAGGUUAGUGCAAUGGCAUAAGCUAGCUUGACUGCGAGCGUGACGGCGCGAGCAGGUGCGAAAGCAGGUCAUAGUGAUCCGGUGGUUCUGAAUGGAAGGGCCAUCGCUCAACGGAUAAAAGGUACUCCGGGGAUAACAGGCUGAUACCGCCCAAGAGUUCAUAUCGACGGCGGUGUUUGGCACCUCGAUGUCGGCUCAUCACAUCCUGGGGCUGAAGUAGGUCCCAAGGGUAUGGCUGUUCGCCAUUUAAAGUGGUACGCGAGCUGGGUUUAGAACGUCGUGAGACAGUUCGGUCCCUAUCUGCCGUGGGCGCUGGAGAAUUGAGGGGGGCUGCUCCUAGUACGAGAGGACCGGAGUGGACGCAUCACUGGUGUUCGGGUUGUCAUGCCAAUGGCACUGCCCGGUAGCUAAAUGCGGAAGAGAUAAGUGCUGAAAGCAUCUAAGCACGAAACUUGCCCCGAGAUGAGUUCUCCCUGAGACUUUAAGUCUCCUGAAGGAACGUUAAAGACGAUGACGUUGAUAGGCCGGGUGUGUAAGCGCAGCGAUGCGUUGAGCUAACCGGUACUAAUGAACCGUGAGGCUUAACCUUACAACGCCGAAG